AUCAACGAUGCACUCAAUGA
rnacentral:snRNA from 1 species